rnacentral:rRNA from 1 species
UGCGUAGGCGGUGCUUUAAGUCAGAUGUGAAAGACCCGGGCUUAACCUGGGGGGUGCAUUUGAUACUGGAGCACUUGAGUGCAGGAGAGGAAAGUGGAAUUCCUAGUGUAGCGGUGAAAUGCGUAGAUAUUAGGAGGAACACCAGUGGCGAAGGCGACUUUCUGGACUGUAACUGACGCUGAGGCACGAAAGCGUGGGGAGCAAACAGGAUUAGAUACCCUGGUAGUCCACGCUGUAAACGAUGGAUACUAGGUGUAGGGAGCGAUAGCUCUCUGUGCCGCAGCUAACGCAAUAAGUAUCCCGCCUGGGGAGUACGAUCGCAAGGUUGAA